GUGACCUCAAAUCAGGUAGGACUACCCCG
rnacentral:rRNA from 1 species